CGUGCGUGUGUGCGCGCGCGCGUGUGCAUGUAUGUAUGUAUGUAUGGGCGUGCGUCUGUGUAUUUUGAAUUUAAAAUGUUUUAACUCGGAAGGAUCUGGAUCACAGGUCAUUUCAUCUGAGAUCAAUCCGCACGCAACAGCUGGAAUCACUUACUGGUUCACACAAGGAAGGACACAAGUCACCCGUUUCCUCAAGUUCACGUCAGAGGGAUACAUAGCGAGACAGUCUCCGCUUGGACUGGCUGAGGAAAGUCUCCUAAAUGGCCCUGGAGAUGUUCUGACUGACUUUGGAGGCUUUUUGGACUGUUUUAUGCCCUCUAUUUAAAGAAGACUUAAUUCUGUAUGUUCAGUCUGUAUGAUAAGUGAAUAAGUGAAUAAAAAGCUUUUGUUUUUAUGUGA